GACCGUGCUUGCACGGUUGGAUUAGUGGCGAACGGGUGAGUAUCACGUGAGUAACCUUCCCUGAACUCUGGGAUAAGCCCGGGAAACUGGGUCUAAUACCGGAUACGACCAGUCCUCGCAUGGGGUGCUGGUGGAAAGAUUUAUCGGUUUUGGAUGGACUCGCGGCCUAUCAGCUUGUUGGUGAGGUAAAGGCUCACCAAGGCGAUGACGGGUAGCCGGCCUGAGAGGGUGACCGGCCACACUGGGACUGAGACACGGCCCAGACUCCUACGGGAGGCAGCAGUGGGGAAUAUUGCACAAUGGGCGAAAGCCUGAUGCAGCGACGCCGCGUGCGGGAUGACGGCCUUCGGGUUGUAAACCGCUUUCAGCAGGGAAGAAGCGCAAGUGACGGUACCUGCAGAAGAAGCGCCGGCUAACUACGUGCCAGCAGCCGCGGUAAUACGUAGGGCGCGAGCGUUAUCCGGAAUUAUUGGGCGUAAAGAGCUCGUAGGCGGUUUGUCACGUCUGCUGUGAAAGCCCGGGGCUCAACCCCGGGUGUGCAGUGGGUACGGGCAGACUAGAGUGCAGUAGGGGAGACUGGAAUUCCUGGUGUAGCGGUGAAAUGCGCAGAUAUCAGGAGGAACACCGAUGGCGAAGGCAGGUCUCUGGGCUGUUACUGACGCUGAGGAGCGAAAGCAUGGGGAGCGAACAGGAUUAGAUACCCUGGUAGUCCAUGCCGUAAACGUUGGGCACUAGGUGUGGGGAACAUUCCACGUUUUCCGCGCCGUAGCUAACGCAUUAAGUGCCCCGCCUGGGGAGUACGGCCGCAAGGCUAAAACUCAAAGGAAUUGACGGGGGCCCGCACAAGCGGCGGAGCAUGC
rnacentral:rRNA from 1 species